GAUGGAAUUCUAGUCCUAAGACCCUGCACUUGAUGGAUCAGCGGGCCCCUCCCAGAUCAAUAAACCGGCUCAUCUGAUCUUGUAGCCCCCCACAACCCAGGAACU